rnacentral:tRNA from 1 species
GGGCUAUUAGCUCAGCUGGUUAGAGCGUUGUCCUGAUAAGACAAAAGUCGUUGGUUCAAGUCCAAUAUAGCCCACCA